rnacentral:rRNA from 1 species
CGGAACUUCGGUUUUGAUGAGAGUGGCGCACGGGUGCGUAACGCGUAUGCAACCUACCUAUUACAGGGGGAUAGCCCGGGGAAACUCGGAUUAAUACCCCAUAGUAUAUUUGAAUGGCAUCAUUUAAAUAUUAAAGAUUUAUCGGUAAUAGAUGGGCAUGCGUAGGAUUAGCUAGUUGGUAAGGUAACGGCUUACCAAGGCUACGAUCCUUAGGGGUUCUGAGAGGAAGGUCCCCCACACUGGUACUGAGAUACGGACCAGACUCCUACGGGAGGCAGCAGUAGGGAAUAUUGGGCAAUGGACGGAAGUCUGACCCAGCCAUGCCGCGUGCAGGAAGACGGCCUUAUGGGUUGUAAACUGCUUUUAUCAGGGAAGAAAAAGGUCAUGCGUGGCAAAUUGCCGGUACCUGAUGAAUAAGCACCGGCUAACUCCGUGCCAGCAGCCGCGGUAAUACGGAGGGUGCAAGCGUUGUCCGGAUUUAUUGGGUUUAAAGGGUGCGUAGGCGGGUUAAUAAGUCAGCGGUGAAAGUCCAGUGCUCAACACUGGAAUUGCCAUUGAUACUGUUAAUCUUGAGUGUCGAUGGGGUACAUGGAAUUUAUGGUGUAGCGGUGAAAUGCAUAGAUACCAU